AUCGUUUUUAUCAGAUUGUGAUUGCGUGGAUUGAAUAUAUAUAUAGGAACCCGUAUCGACUUCUCUGCUCUGCUAAGACUUGUUCGAAAG
rfam:Plesiomonas shigelloides 302-73 contig00335, whole genome shotgun sequence.